rnacentral:rRNA from 1 species
CAAUAGCGUAUAUUUAAGUUGUUGCAGUUAAAAAGCUCGUAGUUGGAUUUCGGAUGGGACUUGCCGGUCCGUCGUUUCGAUGUGCACUGGCCAGUCCUAUCUUGUUGUCGGGGACUAGCUCCUGGGCUUCACUGUCCGGGACUAGGAGCUGACGAGGUUACUUUGAGUAAAUUAGAGUGUUCAAAGCAAGCCUACGCUCUGAAUACAUUAGCAUGUAAUAACACGAUAGGACUCUGGCUUAUCUUGUUGGUCUGUGAGACCAGAGUAAUGAUUAAGAGGGACAGUCGGGGGCAUUCGUAUUUCAUUGUCAGAGGUGAAAUUCUUGGAUUUAUGAAAGACGAACUUCUGCGAAAGCAUUUGUCAAGGAUGUUUUCAUUAA